UUAUGGCUCAGGAUGAACGCUAGCGGCAGGCUUAACACAUGCAAGUCGAGGGGCAUCGGGAGUAGCAAUACUUGCCGGCGACCGGCGCAAGGGUGCGUAACGCGUGAGCAACAUGCCCGUAUCAGGGGGAUAAUCCAUGGAAACGUGGUCUAAUACCCCAUAGUAAUUAUGUAAGGCAUCUUAUAUAAUUUAAAGCUUUGGUGGAUACGGAUUGGCUCGCGUGACAUUAGCUAGAUGGUAAGGUAACGGCUUACCAUGGCUACGAUGUCUAGGGGUUCUGAGAGGAAGGUCCCCACACUGGAACUGAGACACGGUCCAGACUCCUACGGGAGGCAGCAGUGAGGAAUAUUGGACAAUGGAUGGAAAUCUGAUCCAGCCAUGCCGCGUGCAGGAAGACGGCCCUAUGGGUUGUAAACUGCUUUUGUAUGGGAGCAAUAAGGGCUACGCGUAGUCCGAUGAGAGUACCAUACGAAUAAGCACCGGCUAACUCCGUGCCAGCCGCCGC
rnacentral:rRNA from 1 species